UGGGAUAGCUCAGCUGGUAGAGCAUAAGGCUCUUAAUCUCGGGGUCAUGGGUUCGAGACCAAACUGGGCAAAA